AACUAAACCUGACAGCAGCGAAAAUCAUUUUUGCUGGCAGUAACCCACCAACCACGCUCGUCUGCAUCCGAUAGAAACAGGUACCUUCACAAAAGCAGUACCUUAACCACAAAAAGAUUGAAGCGGAUGGCAGGGCUGAAG
rnacentral:sRNA from 2 species